AGACCCAGAGAGUGAGGCAGAGUCUGAUCCUCAGCCUCCGUGGCAGCUGUUGAUCCGCUGUUGUCUCUCUCUCUCUCUCUG
rfam:Myotis brandtii contig193086, whole genome shotgun sequence.